GGGCUGUGGAUGGGCUAAAACAAAUUAAAUAAAAAAAAGUUGCUGCCAAUUAGGGUGAAUUGAAAAGCACUUACACUGAUUGGAAGCAAAUAGGCCAAUGCUGGCGAUGAUUGCACAUGGGAUUGGGCUACAAGUACGAAUGAGCUUAAGUAAUGCGACACCGUUUUAAGGAUUCAGCUGCAGCUUUUGAGGGGUCUAGUUUCGAGAGCCUAAUUUUCCCAUUUGCAAGCCUCGAGCUAGGGCAGAGAACGUGAAAGCGAGAAGAAGAAAGAGGAGCUCGUGCCACUGACCGGACCCUGACCGGAGCUGACCGCUGGAGAUGAUCGGAUGGUCAGAAAGGAAGAUAGAAGCAGAUGAAGUGCCCACCGUUGGAUCAUGAAGCACUAAACGUCGAAGAGGCCUUUUCCCCCUUUCCUAUUUUUUUUCCUUUUCGUUUUGUCUAUAAAAAAGAAACUUGUACAGAUUGUUGAGUGUGAAGGCGAGAGGGUGAUAGACUCCGCGAACGAGACUGAGAUUGCCAGAGUUCGAGAGCGUGUGGGGGGUGACAGACUCCACGAGAGCAUUGGGUGAACGAGAGGAUUUCUUCUGAUUUCAUGAUCUUAGUUCUAGGUUUUCAAGCUUUUCAUAGUAUAGAUUCUGAUGCUCUUGGAUUGGUGAACGAGACUCACGGUGAGUGACAACCUGUGAGUAUCUCGACUUUGCUUUUACGGUAGUAAUCUAUUUUAAUUUUCAUUUUACCUGCAAUGCAAUUUCAAGUUCUGUUGAUUCUCUUAUUGCGAUUAUGUUCUCUGCUUCCAUUUAAUUUUUUGUGAUGUUUUAAUUUCUUCUAGAGUUUACUUUCAUUGUCAUUAGGUUUUAUAUCGUUUUAUAGUUGAAUAUAGAUUGUAACUGAUGAAUUGAUAUUUUCUUGACUGUAUUUAGUUUAUUGCACUUAAAUAAAUUAGGGAAUUGUGUUUAACUGUCCGUUAUUUCCCC
rnacentral:lncRNA from 1 species